rnacentral:rRNA from 1 species
CCCGUUGCGGCAGCCCUAACCAUUGCAAGUCGAGCGGUAACAGAAAGUAGCUUGCUACUUUGCUGACGAGCGGCGGACGGGUGAGUAAUGCUUGGGAACAUGCCUUGAGGUGGGGGACAACAGUUGGAAACGACUGCUAAUACCGCAUAAUGUCUACGGACCAAAGGGGGCUUCGGCUCUCGCCUUUAGAUUGGCCCAAGUGGGAUUAGCUAGUUGGUGAGGUAAUGGCUCACCAAGGCGACGAUCCCUAGCUGGUUUGAGAGGAUGAUCAGCCACACUGGGACUGAGACACGGCCCAGACUCCUACGGGAGGCAGCAGUGGGGAAUAUUGCACAAUGGGCGCAAGCCUGAUGCAGCCAUGCCGCGUGUGUGAAGAAGGCCUUCGGGUUGUAAAGCACUUUCAGUCAGGAGGAAAGGUUAAUAGUUAAUACCUGUUAGCUGUGACGUUACUGACAGAAGAAGCACCGGCUAACUCCGUGCCAGCAGCCGCGGUAAUACGGAGGGUGCGAGCGUUAAUCGGAAUUACUGGGCGUAAAGCGUACGCAGGCGGUUUGUUAAGCGAGAUGUGAAAGCCCCGGGCUCAACCUGGGAACUGCAUUUCGAACUGGCAAACUAGAGUGUGAUAGAGGGUGGUAGAAUUUCAGGUGUAGCGGUGAAAUGCGUAGAGAUCUGAAGGAAUACCGAUGGCGAAGGCAGCCACCUGGGUCAACACUGACGCUCAUGUACGAAAGCGUGGGGAGCAAACGGGAUUAGAUACCCCGGUAGUCCACGCCGUAAACGAUGUCUACUAAAAGCUCGGAGCCUCGUUUCUGUUUUUUAAGCUAACCAUUAAGAACACCGCCUGGCG